rnacentral:rRNA from 1 species
GACGAACGCUGGCGGCGUGCCUAAUACAUGCAAGUCGAGCGGACCAAAGGGAGCUUGCUCCUGGAGGUUAGCGGCGAACGGGUGAGUAACACGUGGGCAACCUGCCUGUAAGACUGGGAUAACAUCGAGAAAUCGGUGCUAAUACCGGAUAAUAAAAAGAACUGCAUGGUUCUUUUUUGAAAGAUGGUUUCGGCUAUCACUUACAGAUGGGCCGCGGCGCAUUAGCUAGUUGGUGAGGUAACGGCUCACCAAGGCAACGAUGCGUAGCCGACCUGAGAGGGUGAUCGGCCACACUGGGACUGAGACACGGCCCAGACUCCUACGGGAGGCAGCAGUAGGGAAUCUUCCGCAAUGGACGAAAGUCUGACGGAGCAACGCCGCGUGAGUGAUGAAGGUUUUCGGAUCGUAAAACUCUGUUGUUAGGGAAGAACAAGUGCCGUUCGAAAGGGCGGCACCUUGACGGUACCUAACGAGAAAGCCACGGCUAACUACGUGCCAGCAGCCGCGGU